GAAGGGUCAAAGGUGAGGACUGCAAAGAUAGGGCAGUAAAGCCACCACAAAAAAAGUGGUUAACAGAACACAGGACAGUGAGUGACAUGGCCAGAUGUUGGAAGCCACUGCAAGCGACAGUCUCUGCCAAGCCACAGUAAGACUAUGGGAUGAGUGGUUAAAAUCAAGUGUGUAAAAGAAAUUUUAGUGGCAGUGAGAAGGCUAGAUGGUGCCGUUCACCCUGCUAGAUGCAGAGCCUCCACACUCUCCGACAGAGGCUCAACACGGAAGUGCUUCGCCGGAAGUAGUAACACCGAGGUUGGCAUCGGAACACUCUGCAAGGUGAUCUGGUUGGAAACAGGCAGCAUUGGAGUGGGGCAUCAGGAACUGGUGCUUGCUUAAGAACUGGUAAGCCAAGCAUCGCAGCACUUGAGAGGCUGAGGCAGGAGGAUUGCCAGGCGCUUAAGGCCGACUUGGGCUACGUAGUCGAUUUCCGGCCUGCCCGACUAAAGAGUUAGACCUUGUUUCGAUUGGGAGAGGUGGUGCCAACAGUGGCAAACCCCAGUAUUUUGUCACAAGGAUAAACAUUACCUUGAUUUCUUGGUGUCAAUGACCUUGAACAUGUGGUUUCCCCCAAUGCAUUGCUCUUACAAUGUAAAUCCUAAAAGCAGCUGCAGAAAAAGCAAUGCGGUUGUGUGGUGAAAAUCCUGAGAUCUCGGCCUCUCUUGGCUCAAGCUAGGGCUUUGUGGGCCUGCAAGCCACACUCUGUAGAAGUGAGCCCCUGGGGGCAGAAAGCUAAGCCCUAAGUCAACACUGGGAAGUCACCAGCCCUGUGCUAUCUCCCCUCUGAGACCCUGAAGACCUCAAAGCUGCAGCAGCUGGGUUCUAGGAGCAGCUCAAGGAAGCUGGUCCCUAGUCCUGUUUCCCAGACAAGAGCUAAGAGAGGGAGGAGUCUUGGAAGUCUGGGAAGAGCCUGAUGUGCCAUCAGAGGAGAUCCUUCAAUCCCUCACUUUCAAGUCAUAUCUUCUUGCAUCUCUCUGAUCCAUGCUGCCCUCAGUGAAGGAAUUUGGUGGAGGAAAUAUCUUCCCCACGUGCAGACCCGAGAAUGUAAGCCGUGCGCCUGGAACAAAAUAUUCUGCCACAGUCAAAAAUCACUAUUUUAAAAAGUGAUGUGCUGUUUGGAAAUAAUACGACAACCCUGAGGAGGUUUGGCAGUUCAGAGCAGUGUGCCUGUGUGGAAGGAAAGAGACUCAACAGCAGCAGUCCCUGUGGUUCCAGAGGCGGUUCCGUCCAGUCACAGGGGACCCACCUAUAAUUCUAGCACUGAAGGAGGGAGCCAGACCGAGGGAGCAGGGCCCAGGCAGGAAGACUUAGGAUUCCAGGCCAGCCUUGGCUACACAGUGAGACCUUGCCUCCAAAACAAACAAAUACAAGAUAACUGUAGCAAGUCCUUGUAAGGGCUAUAAAUUAGUGGUUCCUUUAAAGGCCACUUAAUUGCCACUUAGAAGGGCUUUUUACUGUGUGAGCCAUCUACUUCACAAAACAGAACUCUAUUAAGGUUUCUCAGAACGGCCAGGUCUAUAAGCAGGCAGUUUGUUGAGCAGGUUUGAAAGAGAUUCCUUCCCACCUUCCAUUCACCAGUCCUCCAAAAUUCCAGAUAAGCCUAUUUUUUACUCAGAGGGCAAAGUUGGCCUCUCGGCUUAUGUGCGUUCCCUGCACAAAGGAUAUGUUUUCAGCAAGCAGGACCACAUUCCUACCAAGCAAAAAUAUUCCCCCAUAAGCUGAUUGUCCCAGACCUACCAAGCCUUUCUCAAUGAAGCUCUGUUCUGCUGCCUGCAAAUGUGUGGCCUGUGUUCUCAGACAGUGGCUUGGGACAGGUGCAUGUCUUUGGAGAGGUUGGAGAGGGACCCUGAGCCAGCCUUUGCGACCACAGAGGCACUUCAUCUAAAGCUACUAGCUUUCUCUACAUUGGAAAAGCAAAUUCUCCAACAAGACCUCCUUCAAUAUCCUUCCCCGUAUAAAUUCACCCUUCUGCAAUCUUCUCACUGUCAAAAAUAGUUGAAAAUUCUACUAUCAUAAGAGAGGAAGGGGGGGUCAAAAAGAGUGACAUUAAAG
rnacentral:lncRNA from 1 species